CUCUCUAUCAGCAACUGAAUGUUUUCUGUUUAGAGGAAAGAUGCUCGCACAGCCUCUUUUGCUUUUGGGCAUUGAUCCAGGAAAACUAUAAAACACUUGUUUGUUAAUGGAAAAAAAAAUCCAAGCAUGAGGUUUUGAACAGAACUAUUAAUGUCCUGAGUGAGUGUUCUAGCAGUAAAGGGAGGUUUCAGUCACUUUCCUUUUCGUCUUGGCAACCUUUUAUUUUAGAGUGGUGAAGGGCAAGACUUGUGAAAUAAUGCUAGUCCUUGGGGCUUCCAGUGUCUACUCUGCAGCAUAAGAAUGGCAAACCCCAGAACUAUUGACAGACUUUCAAAAAUACUGAUUUUUGAUAAAGCUGUUAGUACUGUUAGUAAUGUGAGUGGAGGACUGGCUUCUCCCUGGGCGUUCCAGGCUCUAAUCUGACCUACAAACAGCUUUGUCCUCUGCAGGCUUGGUAUGGCAAAUUCUUCUCUUCAGUAGGCUUGGACUGGCAAAUCUCAUCCUGAGGAACCCAAACACUUCAUUUGGGUGUGCAGAAAGAAUGGACACCCAGCUCAAGGCUUCAAGUUCCCUGCUGGGAAGGGAGCUGUAAUCUGAGAUCUACCAGCCUGGUGGCCAUGCAAGUUUUGGUGCUGGGGUGGAUUCUGGGAGAAGCUGCCGGAAGUGUCCCCGUGUCUGAUGGAGCCAAUGCCAGCUGGCAUUGGCCAAGACAGCCCCACCACUGGCCAAGGCUGAGCCCAUCAGCAAGGGUGGUAACACCUUUGGGAUAAUGUAUUUAAGAAGUGGAGGGGAAAGAAAAGACAACUUCAGCAGGAGAAGCGGUGAGAAUAUGUGACAGAGACAGCCCUGCAGAAACCAAGUGCAAAGGAGAAGGAAGGGGAGGAGGUGCUGCAGUGGCUGGAGCAGAGGUUCCCCUGCAGCUCAUGGUGCAGACCACGGUGGAGCAGCUGUGCCCCUGUGGAGGACCCCACGCUGGAAGCAGUUCCUACCUGAAGGAGACUGUGACCCCAUGUGAAACCCAUCCUGGAGCAGGCUUUUGACAGGACCUCUGGCCCCAUGGAGAGAUGAACUCACACUGGAGCAGGCUUUUGCAGGAUUUGUGGACCCAUGGAAAGAGGAGCCCCCACUGGAGCAGGUUUGGUGGAAGGACUUGGAACCUGUGGGGGAUUCACACUGGAGCAGUCUGUUCCUGAAGGUCUGCGCCCCAUGGAAGGGACCCAUGCUGGAGCAGAUUGUGAAGAACUGCUACCUGCAGGAAGAACUCAUGUUAGAGAAGUCCAUGGACAACUGCCUCCUGUGGAAGAGCCUCUAGACUGCAGCAGGCUGAUUGUAUCCAGUGAAUAGAGCAGCUUUGGUGGUCAGCUGGUGUCCAGCCAAAGUCAACAAACCAUAUGGUGAUGUGCUUCUAAAGGUCACAUCUAGUAAGUGGAGCAUUGUGCCUACUGCCUACUGAACUGCACUCUAAACUAGUAGAAUAAAUAUGUCAAGAAUGAGAUUCCUACAACAUAAAACAUAUGCCUUGCUUAAUGCUUGGAGGUUCAGCAGAAGUUUCAUCUGAGGUUGGAUAUGCUGACUUUUUCUGCAAUAGCAGUGGAAAUAUUUGAGUUAGUGACUCAUAAGGGUGGCAGAACUCUGAGUCAUGCAUGUAUUUCUUUACUUGCAGAUGCACCUUCAGCUGCAGUAGCUGCAGAGGUGUAAGGUAGUGCUUGCUUGGUCUCGUGCCUUGCUCUGGGAGUGGAGUGCAUUUGGGAAUGAGUUAUUUGGAAUGAAGCCCAAUGCUGUGGCACUCACUGCAGACAGAGUCGUCUGCACAGACAGAGACACAUCUGAUAUAGCUAUUGGAAUAGACUGACUGUUUCUUAAAUUAGACUAAAAUGAUCAUAACAGCUUCCAUUGUCAAAAGCAGCUGUUCUGUCUGUGCUCCAAAAAAAAAAAAAAAAGUGUGGAAGUAGCAUAGAAGCAUAACUGUCAGAAUGGAAUAUUAAGACUCUCUUUUCAGAGUUUCAGUUUCUUUAGUAGUAUGGUAGCAAUUUCUGAGGUGCUUGUGUUGUAAGAUAAUUAAGUGCAAACUACGUUGAGAAGCAAAUCAAGAGAAUCAAGAGUGAAGCCUGAAAUAUGAGCCAAUCUGAAUCUUAACCUUAAAGUUUUCAAAGCUCUUAUUUAUAAACAGAUAUGGGGACUUCAAUCCCCUGCUCAGGGUUGCAAUAGACAACACCACCCCACCACCUCAGAUCAGUAAAAGACUAUUUAAUGUAUUUUGUCUUGCUCAAGGUUUGUAUUUUCAAAUACAGUGCAUUGUAGCAACUCUAAUGAGCAGAAAGACAGAGACAAAAGUGGUAAAAACUGCAGACAAAGAAUGACCAUGGUGUCCUCUAGUAUGUAAAAAGACACUGUGUGCCAGAGAAGCUGUGCAGGAACUCAGCAGUGGGGUGUUUUUGUAAACUGGGUUAGAGAAGACCAGAGCUGCAUGUAAGGAACAUGACACACAUCCAUUUAGAUAUAUUUCUCUUUUGUAAAAUCACAAAGACAUUUCCUUCUACCAGCUGGAUGACUUUUGGGAGAGAGCUGUAACUUUUAGGGUGUGUCAGUCAGGUAAGGAUCAGAAGAAGGGGGAAGAUUUAUCAGAAAGUUGGGGAACAUCUAGAAAAGAAAUGAAACACUUCUAUUUCAGUAGCUGAACAAAGAUGACAAAAUGGGAGUAAUUCUUGGAGUCAAAAGUCUAUACCCUUUGAAGAGAAAUAGCAGUACAUAUCAUAACCACAUGGAAACUUUUACAAAGGAAAAAAAAAAGUGAAGAAAACAAUCCAUUUUAUGGGUAUUAAAUUAGCAACAUACACUCAUCUGAUGGGAUGAUAACAAGUGGCAUCAGCAAGAUACAUUUUUGCCAUUACUGUAAACUGAUUGUUAUUCUGCAUGAGAAAAAUCUGUAUGUAAUGAAUUCUGGGUGAAUCCAUAUUGGCUGGAUUGCAGAGCCUUCUGGAAAUCAAGAAACCAAGAAGGUACUCCACCACAUUGUUCUAAGAAAAUACUGUUUCCUUGACAUUGGAGCCUCAGGAAUGGUGCUUUUGUCCCUUUGCACAGAAUCAUGUCACAAAAGAGGACAAUAAUUUUGACUGAUGAUAGUAAUGCAAAAUUCUGUUAGCAGUAGUGCUACCAAUAGAUCACCACAGCCUGUAAACUUGAUUUUAAUACUUAAAAUAAAACAAGUUAUGUUAAGAAGAAUAGAGAGUUUAAAAUUCCAAGUGGAGAGAAAACAGCUGUUUGUUAGGGGAGCUGUUCAGGGGCUAGCAAAUUUAGAGCUUCAGUAUAUAUGCCCACACAUACAUAUCUUGGGACCAUGCUACAUUCUUCCAUAUUUUUGAAACUAAAUCAUAAAUUCAUGAAUGUUCACUGGAAUUCUACUAAUACGAAGAGAGUGUGCAUGCUUUUCCAAGAUUAGUACUAACUUUGGAAGCAGGACAGUGCUGUGCAUAUCUGUGGCAGCAGGUUUAUGUAUUUUUUAAAGAAAUUAUUUUUUUUUCUUCAGUUUAACUUGAAUUUUGUUUCUCUAGCAAGCAAUGUCAAAAAGAUGUAGCUAGUGACCUUGUGGAAGCAGCUUUUUUCUACAGUCCUGUUUGAGUGGGGUUUUUAGUUGAGCUGCCCUUCAAUUAUAAGGAGAAAAAAGAGAUAAUUAAUAUAAACUUGCUCCUUCUCCCAUCCAACUAAAUAACAGACUUAUUUAUUUUACCUGUGUUGGUACUUAUUGAAACACAUUCCCAUUCCCUAAGCCUCUGGGCUCAUUUACAUCUUUAGAAACAUAAUUAAACUUCAGUCAUCCAUAGCUGUCUGUCCACAUUUGAAACUGCCAGAAGGCAGGCAUUAGAUUAAUAACUUUCAACAAGUUAUUAUAUCAGAGGGGGAAGCUGACACCAUUCCUGAGAGGGACUUUGUCUUGAGCAUGGAGACCUCUCCAUGUCCAAGUCCAGCAGGAAAUCUGUGUGGGCGGGGAGGAGGAUACAAAGGGUGACAAAAAUGUGAUUUUUGGUUUCCAGGCAUGAUUGUUAACUUGGUGUUAUCUCAGAUUUUAGGUUGCCAGCUGGACACUUCAGAAUGGGCUGAUUUUUAGAUUAUAUGUGGGAGGCAUUCUUUAAAAAUUAAAUUCCUUUAAUGUUCAGCAAGACAGACACUUUGAAAUAGAAUUACUUGGUGUGAUUUACAGAAAAUUUGAAAUCACUCAUUUGUAAGAUUUUUGCUUGUUUGUUCUUUUCUGCAUAAAUAGUGUGUUUAAUUUCCCUCCAGCAUUUCUUGAAUAAAGAAUUCAUUAAUUUACUAAAAUGGUGAAAUGGAAUAAAUAAAAAUAUUA